rnacentral:rRNA from 1 species
GACGAACGCUGGCGGCGUGCUUAACACAUGCAAGUCGAACGCUGAAGCUCAGCUUUUGUUGGGUGGAUGAGUGGCGAACGGGUGAGUAACACGUGAGUAACCUGCCUCCUUCUUUGGGAUAACGCCCGGAAACGGGUGCUAAUACUGGAUAUUCACUGGUCUUCGCAUGGGGGUUGGUGGAAAGGGUUUUUCUGGUGGGGGAUGGGCUAGCGGCCUAUCAGCUUGUUGGUGGGGUGAUGGCCUACCAAGGCGUUGACGGGUAGCCGGCCUGAGAGGGUGACCGGUAACAUUGGGACUGAGAUACGGCCCAGACGCCUACGGGAGGGAGCAGUGGGGAAUAUUGCACAAUGGGCGAAAGACUGAUGCAGCGACGCUGCGUGAGGGAUGGAGACCUUCGAAUUGUGAACCUCUUUCGCUCAUGGUCAAGCCGCAACAAUGGUUGUGGUGAGGGUAGUGGGUAAAGAAGCGCCGGCUAACUACGUG